CCUCCUAUCUUACCAUAACAAAAAGUCCUCUCUCUCUCUCUCUCUUUCACACUCUCACUUUUUCUGUGCUUCUCUUCUCUCUCCUUUCACCCUCUUGGAAUAAUAGAGUAGGGAGAAAAAAAAGGGUCUCAAAGAUGAGACCAAAAGACGGGUUUUUCAUCAAAGGUCCCUAUAAGGGAGGGUUUUUUCUCAUGCAUGUGGCUAGCAGCAGCAGCAAGUGCAAGGUGGCCAUGAGCAUGACCAUGGUCAACGACCCUUUGAGGAGAAUUGGGAGGUGUGACCAAAAAAAAGAAGCCAUUAGUGGCUCUGAAAUUGGAGCUGACAAUUCUCCUGCAGCAGGAGCAGCUUCUUCAUUCUAAUCUGGUGCUAUCCUAUCUGAGCUUUUUACUACUACUACUACCCUUUCUUUCUUCAUCUAAUUUCUACCACACUUUUCUCUUUGUUUUUCCCUUGGAGUCUUCUUCUUGACCUUGUAAGACCUUUUCUUGACCUUGUAAGACCUCACACCCUAUCUCUUCUCUUUGUUUUUGCUUUUGUGGAAGACCCUGUAUCACUAUCCACUGAUAUAGAGUUUGAUCUCCUUCUUUCCCCGUUACCACCCAACUCAUACUUUCCUUCCUUGUCUAUCCCUCCUGAGCUGUUCCAAUUUAAUUAAUUUGGCCUACCAUAUAUGAUGCAACAAUUUAAUGUAAUAUUAUGCCAUACCAUGGUAUCAUAUGGUAUGGUAUAGCUUCAUAGAAAUUAAUUAAGGACCUUACCUUAACCUUAGAAGUUACAACCUCUGCCAAAUGUGUUGCUAGCUAUUUGGAGACCAUGGCUUCCAAGAGAGUACAACAAUUGGGGUAUAUUAUUUUUAUUUUAUUUGAUAUUUUUUUUUAUCUUGGUGAGAAAUUAAUGUAGUUCGUGCAGCAUCAUGGUUGGUCGUGGUCCUUAAGGUAUCUGUGGUAAGUUGUAAAGAGUGGCCAUAGUUAAUAAUAAAUCAAUGCUGCUAGUAUUCAGAGGAAAUUCAAAAGCCAAAUCUGUAUCAUAUAUAUUUCUGUUAUGGCAAUCAAUUUCGCUUGUAUCAUUGUGUGCAGAAUAUUUAUGCUGUGUUGCAGACAUCUGUUUCGUUGUUUUAUAUGUUGUUUGGCUGAGAAAGUGUGCAACAACUGCAUACCAUAUUAUUCUUUUAGAUCUAAGCAAGAGUCUCCCUCGUGACUGC